CAAGCCCAGAUAACCUUUUUACCUAAUGGAUCACCUAAGGGAUUACCAGGCAUAAUAGCGGUAUUGGUGCCAAGAGAAGAAUGGCGCUUCUGUUCUGUAAUAACAAAUGCAAACCCUAAGGAUGAAUCCUUAUUUGACAUUCCAGGAGUAUUGGCAGAAAAUAAUCCUCCAGGACUUGCUCGUAACAUCCCACCGAUACAUAUUGAGUUAAAGCUCGG